rnacentral:lncRNA from 1 species
AUAUGUGAAUUUUGCUUUACCAGAAAUUUUCUGACCUAGUUUCAGAUCCAAGAGCGCAACUGAAACUCAAUCCCUUUCCCGUCACUGCAGCCAUCAAGAGAAGAGACGACCGCUCCACUGCCAAAGGCAGCACAACAUGUCCCGGGUUCCCUCCACCGACCUUCCUGAGCCCCUCACCACCAGCUCUGAGUCGCUGCAGAGGAGCAGGGGCAUGGUGGGAGAAGGCACAGCACCCCAUGCCCAGACUCUGUGUCGGGAUCCUGCCAUGGGCCGGUGAUAUCAGCAUGACCUGGCUCCCCACUCCCUUACACCUCUGUGACUACCAGAUCGAGUCCUCAAAAUAAAUGCAGAGAAGAAAAAUUAUUUCAGGGGGAGAAAAUUGAGAGAUACCCAAGAGUCCAACCUGGUUCGAUGCCUAAAAUGACUUCAUUUUGAGGAGUAAACAGUGACAUGUUUUCACAAGUUCGAAAGACUGCAGGUAAGAAUCAUUGGACUGAUGAGAGUGCUCUGGAGGCUGGAAUUAAAUAUUUGCAUGCCAGCUAGCAGCUGUCAAGGCAAGCCUCGCAAACCAUCUCCCAAUCAAUAAUUGCUAACCUGAGAGUACCAGGCGCCUCCCUGGACACUGCGUUCACGACUGAAGUUGGUCCACAUGAACAUUCAGUCUCUGCCAAGAAUCUUGCAGGAAGAGAGUGAGGAGGG